UACAGAGGUCUCAAGCGUUGUUCGGAUUCAUUGGGCGUAAAGGGUGCGUAGGCGGCGCGGUAAGUCGGGUGUGAAAUCUCGGGCUUAACUCCGAAACUGCAUUCGAUACUGCCGUGCUUGAGGACUGGAGAGGAGACUGGAAUUUACGGUGUAGCGGUGAAAUGCGUAGAUAUCGUAAGGAAGACCAGUGGCGAAGGCGGGUCACUGGACCGGUUCUGACGCUGAUGGCGCGAAAGCGUGGGAGCAAACG
rnacentral:rRNA from 1 species